CCAGAGGAUAUUUUAUUGGGGUCGGGGAAUAUGGAUUAAACUUUUUAGUUUAAUUAAAAAUAUUUAGUGGGGGGAAAACAUUUUUAGGACCUUAAAUUUUAACUUUUUUGGUUAUGGUUUAGUAUUGCAUACUAUCUUAAGAAAAUAAUAUUUGGAUAUUUAAUAAAUAUAAAUAGAUAGGGGUCUUUUAUUUUUAUUGUUACGUAAUAAAAAUCAGGGGGCCGGCGUUUGAUAUAACGGUUUUUAUGUUAUUUGUUUGUGGUUGUUUAUUAGAAAAUUAUAUUUUUGUUUAGUUUGUGGUUGAAUAUCUAUAUUUUAGAGUGUUUAUUAUUUGUAGUUGGUAUUACCUUGUUUCUAUUAUUUUUUGUUUGUUUUUGGUUUUAUCCUUACCUUUUAAAGAAUUUCAUAUUUUGGAAUAAAGUAAAUUUAGUAUAUGAUGUGUUUAUUUUAUAAUUUAAAAAUAAAUAACUUGGCCUGUAAUCAAAUGUUUUUUAAAGACAUAGACUAUAAUUUAUAGUUUUCUUCUGCUCAAUGAAAUUUAAAAUAGCCGCUUAGCGUGAGGAGCAAAAAAGUAGCAAAAUAGUUUGUUUUUUUAUUGAUUUCGAGUAUGAAUGGAGGUUUUGGUUAUUUAUUUUUUGUUUUUGAUUUGAAUUACUUUUGUGUUUAAAAAUUACCAUGUAUACUUAAACAAAGAUAAGUUUUCGAAAAUUCCUUUUGAUCACAUAUUUGUAAUAUGUGAUUAAGUUGUUUAGGGCAAAUUUUUAUAUAAAUAGGUUUUACUAAUUUUAUAGUAGGGAGUUCCCUCCGAGUUACCCGAAACUCCCCUUUUUUCUAGGUGUUAUAGAAAAUUAGGUUUUACCUCCAUGUUGUAUUUUAACUAGUUGGAAAGUA
rnacentral:rRNA from 1 species